AUUUUUGCAGCGAAAUUUGGUUCAGCUUAGUUUUUCUAAGCAGAUUAAAAGGGAAUCUGGUGCAAAUCCAGAACUGUUCCCGCAACUGUAAGUUUGUGCUGAUUUAUUCAGCUCCUUAAUAAAAAAAGGAUGUUAUCAUCUACAAAACCACUGGUUAACACUGGGAAGGUAAGAUAACAUAAAACAAGUCAGGAGACCUGCCAUUUUCAAAACAAUUAA
rnacentral:ncRNA from 2 species